UACGGGGGGGGCAAGCGUUGUUCGGAAUUACUGGGCGUAAAGGGCUCGUAGGCGGCCAACUAAGUCGGACGUGAAAUCCCUCGGCUUAACCGGGGAACUGCGUCCGAUACUGGAUGGCUUGAGUGUGGGAGAGGGAUGCGGAAUUCCAGGUGUAGCGGCGAAAUGCGUAGAUAUCUGGAGGAACACCGGUGGCGAAGGCGGCAUCCUGGACCACGACUGACGCUGAGGAGCGAAAGCCAGGGGAGCAAACGGGG
rnacentral:rRNA from 1 species